UUUCCGUAGGUGAACCUGCGGAAGGAUCAUUAUUGAAUAAACUUGGUUGUUGUAGCUGAUCCUUUGGGAUAUGUGCACACUUCCAAAUUUCUUUCACCACCUGUGCACCUUUUGUAGACCUGGAUAUCUUUCGAGUCUUUGACUUGGUUAGAGGGCUGCUGUGCUUCUCCAAGCUAGCUUUCCUUGCAUUUCCGGUCUAUGUUUUUCAUAUACACUGCAUGUCAUAGAAUGUAAUUGAUAGGCUUCAUUGCCUUUAAAUCUAAUACAACUUUCAACAACGGAUCUCUUGGCUCUC
rnacentral:misc_RNA from 1 species